CGUUAUUAUUUCCGUUAUUUUUUUCUGUUAUUUCCGUUAUUAUUUCCGUUAUUUAGGAUUUUUCUGUUAUUUCCGUUGUUGUUCUUGACCUGUCACCUAAUUUUUUGCCGUAUGUUUCUGUCUCUCUGGAGGUUCUUUCCUUUCUUUCUGUUCUUUCUGUUGUUCUUGUCCUGUCACCUAAUUUUCUGCUUUAUGUUUAUGUCUUUCGGAGGUUAUUUCCGUUAUUACCAUCAUUUCCGUUAUUUCCGUUGUUGUUCUAGACCUGUCACCAUAUUUUCUGCCCUAUGUUUCUGUCUUUAUGGAGGUUCUUUCCGUUAUUUCCGUUAUUUUUGUUAUUUCCGUUAUUACCAUCAUUUCCGUUAUUUCCGUUGUUGUUCUAGACCUGUCACCAUAUUUUCUGCCCUAUGUUUCUGUCUUUAUGGAGGUUCUUUCCGUUAUUUCCGUUAUUUUUGUUAUUUCCUUUAUUUCCGUUAUUUCCGUUGUUGUUCUUGACUUGUUACUUAAUUUUCUGUUGUAUGUUUCUGUCUCUGCGGAGGUUAUUUCCGUUCUUUCCGUUCUUUCAUUUCUUUCCGUUCUUUCUGUUUUUUCCGUUGUUGUUCUUGACCUGUCACUUAAUUUUCUGUUGUAUGUUUCUGUCUCUGUGGAGGUUAUUUCUCUUAUUUCCCUUAUUUCCGUUAUUUCAAUUAUUAUUUUCGUUAUUUUUUUCCGUUAUUUCCAUUAUUAUUUUCGUUAUUUCUUUUUUUUUCUAUUAUUUCCGUUGUUGUUCUUGACCUGUCAUUUAAUUUUUUGCCGUAUGUUUCUGUGUCUCUGGAGGUUCUUUCUGUUCUUUCCGUUCUUUCCGUUUUUGUUCUUGACAUGUCACCUAAUUUUCUGCCAUAUGUUUCUGUCUCUGUGGUGGUUAUUUCCGUUAUUUCCGUUAUUUCCGUUUUUAUUUCCAUUAUUUUUUCUGUUAUUUCCGUUAUUAUUUCCGUUAUUUCGGUUUUUUCUUUUAUUUCCGUUGUUUUUCUUCACCUGUCACAUAAGUUUUUGCCGUAUUUUUCUGUCUCUCUGGACGUUCUUUCCUUUCUUUCCGUUCUUUCCGUUGUUGUUCUUGACAUGUCACCUAAUUUUCUGCCGUAUUUUUUUGUCUCUGUGGUGGUUCUUUCCGUAAUUUCCAUUAUUUCCGUUAUUUCCGUUAUUUCCGUGGUUGUUCUUGACCUGUCAGUUAAUUUUCUGCCGUACGUUCCUGUCUCUGGCGAGGUUUUUUCCGUUAUUUCCGUUAUUUUUUCCGUUAUUUCAGUUAUUUCCGUAGUUGUUCUAGACCUGUCAUUUAAUUUUCUGCCGUAUGUUUCUGUCUCUGUGGAGGUUAUUAUUUCCGUUAUUUCCAUUAUUAUUUUCAUUUUUUCCGUUUUUUUAGUUAUUUCCAUUAUUUCCGUUGUUGUUCUUGACCUGUCAAUUAAUUUUCAGCCGUAAGUUUCUGUCUUUGUGGAGGUUAUUUCCGUUAUUUCCGUUAUUUCCGUUGUUGUUCUAGACGUGUCAUUUAAUUAUUAUUUCCGUGUGUUUCUGUCUCUGUGGAGGUUAUUAUUUCCGUUAUUUCCGUUAUUAUUUACGUUUUUUCUGUUUUUUUAGUUAUUUCCGUUCUUUCCGUUGUUGUUCUUAACCUGUCACCUAAUUUUCUGCCGUAUGUUUCUGUCUUUCGGAGGUUAUUUCCGUUAUUACCGUCAUUUCCGUUUUUUCUGUUAUUUCCGUUGUUGUUCUUGACCUGUCACCUAAGUUUCUGCCGUAUGUUUCUGUCUUCAAAGGUUAUUUCCGUUAUUUCCGUUAUUUCCAUUAUUUCCCUUGUCGUUCAUGACCUGUCAGUUAAUUUUCUGCCGUAAUUUUCUGUCUCUGUGGAGUUUCUAUCCAUUAUUGCCGUUAUUUCCGUUAUUUCCGUUAUUUCCGUUGUUUUUCCAGACCUGUCACCUAAUUUUCUGCCAUAUGUUUCUGUCUCUCUGGAGGUUAUUUCCGUUGUUUCCGUUGUUUUAAUUGUUUCCGUUGUUUCCGUUAUUUCUGUUGUUGUUCUUGACCUGUCACCUAAUUUUCUGCUGUGUGUUUCUGUCUCUCUGGAGGUUCUUUCCGUUCUUUCCAUUCUUUCCGUUAUUAUUACCGUUAUUUUUUUCUGUUACUAUUUCCGUUGCUUUUUCUGUUAUUUCCGUUAUUAUUUUUGUUAUUUCGUUUUUUUCUUGUAAUUCUGUUCUUGUUCUUGACCUGUCGCCUGAUUUUCUGCCGUAUGUUUCUGUCUCUCUGGAGGUUCUUUCCGUUCUUUCCAUUCUUUCCAUGUUUUCCAAUAUUAUUUCCGUUAUUUCCGUUAUUAUUUCCAUUAUUUCGUUUUUUUUAUUUAUUUCCGUUGUUGUUCUUGACCUGUCACCUAUUUUUCUGCCUUAUGUUUCUGUCUCUCUGGCGGUUCUUGCCGUUCUUUCUGUUAUUAUUUUUGUUAUUUCCGUUAUUUCUGUUUUUACUUCUGUUAUUUUUGUUAUUCUGUUAUUAUUUCCGUUAUUUCCGUUAUUAUUUCC
ensembl:lncRNA